UACGUAGGGUGCAAGCGUUUAAUCGGAAUUACUGGGCGUAAAGCGUGCGCAGGCGGUUCGUUAUGUCCGAUGUGAAAGCCCCGAGCUCAACUUGGGAAUGGCAUUGGAAACUGGCGGGCUGGAGUGUGGCAGAGGGGGGUGGAAUUCCACGUGUAGCAGUGAAAUGCGUAGAGAUGUGGAGGAACACCGAUGGCGAAGGCAGCCCCCUGGGCCAACACUGACGCUCAGGCACGAAAGCGUGGGGAGCAAACAGG
rnacentral:rRNA from 1 species